rnacentral:rRNA from 1 species
UAGGGAAUCUUCGGCAAUGAGGGCAACCCUGACCGAGCAACGCCGCGUGUGUGAUGAAGGGUUUCGGCUCGUAAAACACUGUUGUAAGAGAAGAAUGACAUUGAGAGUAACUGUUCAAUGUGUGACGGUAUCUUACCAGAAAGGAACGGCUAAAUACGUGCCAA